GUAAGAGAAUAAAUUUGUGUUGUUUUAAGCCCCUAAGUUUGUGGUAAUUUGUUACAGCAGCAAUAGGAAACCAGUGCACCGCAUACCGACUCAUGCGUAUGCUCAUUACUUGUCUUCCCCCACUGGUCUAUGAACUCCACGAGGCCUUGGUCUAUUGUCUUGACCGUUGUAUCCCCUGGCACAGAGGCUGGCACAGGAAUGGCACCCCAUAAGUGUCUGUUGAAUGAACGAAUACACAGAGAGGCGGUGCACGAAGAGGGACUUCUGUGUGGCUGACUGCCCUGGGAGCAGAGGGGAUGUUUGAGCCACAAGAUGCAAGGAGCCUGGGACCCUGAAUUACCACGAGGAGAAAGCUGCAUGCCGGCCAGGAAGCCCCACACUGGAUUGUUAUAGAGAAACAUCGGGAAUGACAACACAAUGAGAUCAUGAUAAGAGGAAGCAGCUAAACCUGACAGGUCACCUCCUCCUCUCGUUCUAGCAACCCAGCCUCUCAUAAGAACAAGGAAGAGCAAAGUGACAGCUUCCAGAGCAAAGGGGAGACAUCUCGCAGCUCUGAGUAGAUAAGCUUAGUGCUGGCUUCACACGGAGGGGCA
rnacentral:lncRNA from 1 species